rnacentral:tRNA from 1 species
GCUGGGGUACGGCUCAGUGGUAGAGCACUUGUCUAGCAUGUGUGAGGCCGUGGACUCCAUCCCCAGCA